rnacentral:rRNA from 1 species
GAUGAACGCUGGCGGCGUGCCUAAUACAUGCAAGUCGAGCGAAGCGGGGACGGGUGAGUAACACGUGGAUAAAUCCCUAUAAGACUGGGAUAACCUCGGGAAACCGGAGCCAAACCCGAUAAUUAAACAUGGAUCCGUGCGGCAUUAGCUAGUUGGUAAGGUAACGGCUUACCAAGGCAACGAUUCAUAGCCGACCUGAGAGGGUGAUCGGCCACACUGGAACUGAGACACGGUCCAGACUCCUACGGGAGGCAGCAGUAGGGAAUCUUCCGCAAUGGGCGAAAGCCUGACGGAGCAACGCCGCGUGAGUGAAGAAGGUCUUCGGAUCGUAAAACUCUGUUAUUAGAGAAGCGGUACCUAAUCAGAAAGCCACGGCUAACUACGUGCCAGCAGCCGCGGUAAUAC